rnacentral:rRNA from 1 species
GACGAAGGGGGGCUAGCGUUGUUCGGAAUUACUGGGCGUAAAGCGCGUGUAGGCGGUUGCCAAAGUCGGGUGUGAAAGCCUUGAGCUCAACUCAAGAAAUGCACUCGAUACUUGGUGACUAGAGGACCGGAGAGGAUAGUGGAAUUCCCAGUGUAGUGGUGAAAUACGUAGAGAUUGGGAAGAACACCAGUGGCGAAGGCGGCUAUCUGGACGGUUUCUGACGCUAAGACGCGAAAGCGUGGGGAGCAAACAGG